rnacentral:lncRNA from 1 species
UGAAUCCUUGCCAUGUUAUAGGGCACCCCCAGGUGCUGUUCAGCUGACCCAGCAACCCUGUAUUUCCUGGGACCAGCUCUUUAGAUAGAGAAGCUUCAGUAAUGCCAGGUCCGAUUGCUUGGGAAGACUUCCACACGAGUCAGGCAUUGGCUUAAUCUGCUGCCACAAUGAACACAGCUAACAACAGCUGGGUAAGCACCCUAAGAUGUCAAUUUUGGAAACAAAGCAAAAAACAUUAUGACCUCAUCUAAAACCACAAUACAGCUGAAUCCUGAGUUCCACGGAUAGUUUCCAUCACUGUGUGUCCACAGGCAAGGAAGAGAAAGAAGACCCAGGCAAAGAGAUCUAAAACAGAUCCCAGAAUCUGCAGGAGAAAGAUUGAGAUUCAGCUGCAAUCCUUCAAACGGCCACGAGAGGGCACCUGACAGGGUCAUGAUUCACAGCUUCCCGACCUUAAAAAGAAAACCAUCUUCUGGGGGAAGAACAAGAAAGCGACACGCUGCAAACUGGUCCACAGCAAAGCAGACGACUGUUGUGGGGGCACAGGCAGCCCCUCCAGAAGCCCGCGUGUCUUCAUCAGGCACGGUCACCUCAGCGUCCUCCCUGUCGUUUUCGGAUUCUCCUUGGACCUGGUUGUUUGCUCC